GACGAACGCUAGCGGCGUGCUUAACACAUGCAAGUCGAACGAUGAAGAACAGCUUGCUGGGUAGAUUAGUGGCGAACGGGUGAGUAACACGUGGGCAACCUGCCCCAAACUCUGGGAUAACGCCUCGAAAGAGGUACUAAUACUGGAUACGAACUGGGAAGACAACUGUAGCAGUUGGAAAGUCUUUCGGUUUGGGAUGGGCCCGCGGCCUAUCAGCUUGUUGGUGAGGUAACGGCUCACCAAGGCUACGACGGGUAACCGGCCUGAGAGGGCGACCGGUCACACUGGGACUGAGACACGGCCCAGACUCCUACGGGAGGCAGCAGUGGGGAAUAUUGCGCAAUGGGCGAAAGCCUGACGCAGCGACGCCGCGUGAGGGAUGAAGGUCUUCGGAUCGUAAACCUCUUUCAGUAGGGACGAAGCGAAAGUGACGGUACCUAAAGAAGAAGCACCGGCUAACUACGUGCCAGCCGCCGCCGUAA
rnacentral:rRNA from 1 species